ensembl:snRNA U4 U4 spliceosomal RNA
AGCUUUGCGCAGUGGCAGUAUCGUAGCCAAUGAGGUUUAUCCGAGGCGCGAUUAUUGCUAAUUGGAUCCAAACUGUUCAAGAACUGUCACACAACUCUAAAAGACAUAGUUUUAACAAGAAACUAAAACCUUGAUCCACUGUACAGG